rnacentral:rRNA from 1 species
CCUACGGGGGGCAGCAGUGGGGAAUAUUGGACAAUGGGCGCAAGCCUGAUCCAGCCAUGCCGCGUGAGUGAAGAAGGCCCUCGGGUUGUAAAGCUCUUUUGUCCGGAAAGAAAAGCAUUCGGUUAAUACCCGGGUGUUCUGACGGUACCGGAAGAAUAAGCACCGGCUAACUUCGUGCCAGCAGCCGCGGUAAUACGAAGGGUGCAAGCGUUACUCGGAAUUACUGGGCGUAAAGCGUGCGUAGGUGGUUUGUUAAGUCUGAUGUGAAAGCCCUGGGCUCAACCUGGGAAUGGCACUGGAUACUGGCAAGCUAGAGUGUGGCAGAGGGUAGUGGAAUUCCUGGUGUAGCAGUGAAAUGCGUAGAGAUCAGGAGGAACAUCCGUGGCGAAGGCGACUGCCUGGGCCAACACUGACACUGAGGCACGAAAGCGUGGGGAGCAAACAGGAUUAGAUACCCGGGUAGUC